rnacentral:rRNA from 1 species
GGGAAUUGCGAUGGAGACUGCAAGGCUAGAAUCUGGCAGAGGGGGGUAGAAUUCCACGUGUAGCAGUGAAAUGCGUAGAGAUGUGGAGGAACACCGAUGGCGAAGGCAGCCCCCUGGGUCAAGAUUGACGCUCAUGCACGAAAGCGUGGGGAGCAAACAGGAUUAGAUACCCUGGUAGUCCACGCCCUAAACGAUGUCUACUAGUUGUCGGGUUUUAAUUAACUUGGUAACGCAGCUAACGCGUGAAGUAGACCGCCUGGGGAGUACGGUCGCAAGAUUAAAACUCAAAGGAAUUGACGGGGACCCGCACAAGCGGUGGAUGAUGUGGAUUACUUCGAUGCAACGCGAAAAACCUUACCUACCCUUGACAUGUACGGAAGCCACGAGAGAUUCGUAGGUGUGCUCGAAAGAGAGCCGUAACACAGGUGCUGCAUGGCUUGUCGUCAGCUCGUGUCGUGAGAUGUUGGGUUAAGUCCCGCAACGAGCGCAACCCUUGUCAGUAGUUGUUACGAAAGGGCACUCUAAUGAGACUGCCGGUGACAAACCGGAGGAAGGUGGGGAUGACGUCAAGUCCUCAUGGCCCUUAUGGGUAGGGCUUCACACGUCAUACAAUGGUACAUACAGAGGUCCGCCAACCCGCGAGGGGGAGCUAAUCCCAGAAAGUGUAUCGUAGUCCGGAUUGUAGUCUGCAACUCGACUGCAUGAAGUUGGAAUCGCUAGUAAUCGCGGAUCAGCAUGUCGCGGUGAUACGUUCCCGGGUCUUGUACACACCGCCCGUCACAC